UUUUUUUUUUUCCCGAGAUGGAGUCUCUCUCUGUUGCUCAGGCUGGUGUGCAGUGGUGCAAUCUUUGUUCACUGCAACCUCCACCUCCUGGGUUCAAGCAAUUCUCCUGCCUCAGCCUCCUGAGUAGCUGGGAAUUUAGGCAUGCACCACCACGCUUGGCUAUUUUUUGUAUUUUUAGCAGAGACGGGGAGUCACCAUAUUGGCCAGGCUGGUCUUGAACUCCUGACCUCAGGUGAUCCACCCACCUCCUCCUCCCAAAGUGCUGGGAUUACAGGCGUGAGCCACUGUGCCCAGCCAACAAUUUGUUUUUUCAUUUUAACAGUUUUUAAGUGUGCAGGUCAAAGGAAUUAAGCACAUUCACGCUGUUUUAUGAGCAUCCUCCACAUUUAUAGGUAGUGUUUUUCAUUCUGCAAAACUACAGCUCUGUACCCAUUAAACACCUCACCUACCUUCCUGCAGCUGGGAACCACUCUUCUACUUUGUGUUUCUAUAAACUUAACUACUCUAAGUACCUCAUAUGAGUGGAAUCAUGCAGUAUGGUGAAGAAACCAUGAGAAGGUAUAAUACACACUAUAUAACAUAUGUUUAUUUAUUUGAACAAAAACACUAACAGAGAUCAGUAGUACAUGGUGAUUAUAGAGAAAGAGAUAAAAAGAGAAAAGGAUUAGACAGACACAUUAAAUUUACAACAAUGAUGCUCAAAUAUCACAGCAGUGAGUCCCCUGCCCGUCACAGGGCUGAUCACAGUGGAGCUGGGAGCCCUGUGCAGCUGUCUAACUCCCAGAGCACAUGCUCAGUCCAAACUUCGCCGAGCACUGAGGCACUCUGCCCUGCCACCUGGGCACUCAGUGGGCCUGAGAUUCUUCAUGGCCUGGUCUUCUUGGCCUUGAGGGCGUGGCUGGCCUACUGGGAUGGGGGCUCAGUGGCAGGAUAGGCUGUAGCUGUAGGACAGAGUAGCAGCUGUGAGGCUCCAGGAGCCACACCUCAGGCCUCCCUCCCAGUCCCUGCCCAGGGCUCCCAUUCAACAGGGCCUGCUGCUGACCAGGGAGCCGUGUCCACAGGCUGUCUGAAACUGACCACAAGACAGAGUCUCUGCCCAUCUUCUGUCAGUCCGCUAGGCUCUCACCUCUCAAUCGGACUGUGCUGCUCCAUGGACUUGAAACCAUCCCCAUAUUCCUCCUGAAUCUGAAGAUAAUUCCCUCUUGUCACUGAAGCAGCUGUAUUUCUUGGAGGACUUUAAUCUCCUGGAGCCAGAGGGAAAACCAGGAGGUUAACAGGGCCUGGGUGGAAGAUGCUGAAGGGCCCUUAGGGAGGGAGUAAACUGAGGCCGAUCUCUAGGGCUUUUCUCUUAAUGGGUCCCCUCUUCUCCAAUCCCAUGCAGUCCCAGCCUUUUCUCAGAGUUAGAAAUAAACAGAUAAACAGCGACCCCCUGGGAAUUUGUCCAUGAUUCCUGUCCCCUACCCACAGCCUCCAUUGGGAUAGGUCUCCUCUGUGUAUCAAACCCUCCCAAUAAAUCCAGGAUGCAGAGGAUGGAGCCACGGAGUGUUGUACCCAGGGUAAGUGGGUGGGAGUCUCUGACUUCCACAUCUCCACCCUCCCCCAAGUGAGGGCCCCAGCUGCUCCCCUUUUUCCUUUCUGGGUGUUGAUCACAUUUCCCUGGAAGACAGCCAGCCAAAGACUCUCAGAAAGGCCCCUGGCCCAUGACUUGCCCCCAUCCCCACCUGCCAGGCCAGCAGGGGUGAGAAAUGUGCACAGAACAGCACUGGAACCUGCAUCAGGCUCUGGGCUCUAGAUGAGGAGGUGUGGGAGUUGUGGGUCAGGGACCUUCUGCCCCAACACUCUC
ensembl:lncRNA